GCCCAGGUGGGGGAGGCCCAAGGGAACAACGGCCGCCACUCUCGGUUGCGUGCCUCCCAAUCGCUGCCACCAACUUCACCCACUCCCCCUUUCUCUUUUAACCUUUUCCGCACACUACCCACCAGAUUUUUCAGGCCAUAGAAGUAGAAAAGAAAAUGACAGAAAUUGGUCUAAAAAUUGAUGAAAAGGAGGCGGUGGCGGCACUGAAUGGGAGCUGACCGCGAUGGUGGCAUGAAUGGGACAGGCAUGCGACGGUCGCACAUGAACGGGAGAGACACGACGAUGAGGACUUUAUUGAACGACCUGCUUGUUUCCUCGAGAUGUGGGAAAGAAAUGGACCGCGGCCCAGGCCCAUCCAGCAAUACGAUGUUCUUCGGGCUUCGGGCUACUACACCUUGGCAAUGGGCAAUUUAGGGGUCGGCCCAGCUAUUUCUUUCAGUCAUUAUAUAUUUCUUUGACCAUUUUUUCUUGCCUUUGUUUGUAUGGCACACACAGACAAACCCACAUCCUUGUAAUCAUAAAUACAUUCUGGUUCUCAGUAAAUACAGUUUUAUUA